GCCGGGGUGGCGGAAUGGCAGACGCAGUUGACUCAAAAUCAACCGGUUACGACCAUGCGGGUUCAAGUCCCGCCCUCGGUACCA
rnacentral:tRNA from 3 species